rnacentral:misc_RNA from 1 species
GAUGAAGAACGCAGCGAAAUGCGAUACGUAAUGUGAAUUGCAGAAUUCAGUGAAUCAUCGAGUCUUUGAACGCACAUUGCGCCCCCUGGUAUUCCGGGGGGCAUGCCUGUCCGAGCGUCAUUGCUGCCUCAAGCACGGCUUGUGUGUUGGGCCUCCGUCCUCCUCCCGGGGGACGGGCCCGAAAGGCAGCGGCGGCACCGCGUCCGGUCCUCGAGCGUAUGGGGCUUCGUCACCCGCUCUUGUAGGCCCGGCCGGCGCUUGCCGACACAUCAAUCUUUUUUCCAGGUUGACCUCGGAUCAGGUAGGGAUACCCGCUGAACUUAAGCAUAUCAAUAAGCGGAGA